AACGCACCUUGCGCUCCUUGGUAUUCCGAGGAGCAUGCCUGUUUGAGUGUCAUUAAAUUCUCAACCUUACCAGCUUUUGCUAGUAAUGGCUUGGAUGUGGGGGUCUUUUGCUGGCUUCGUCAAGAGGUCGGCUCCCCUUAAAUGCAUUAGCUGGUGCCCCGCGCGGAACCGUCUAUUGGUGUGAUAAUUAUCUACGCCGUGGACGUCUGCAUGAAUGGGAUUGCGCUGCUUCUAACCGUCCGUUCUGGACAACACAAAUGACAAUUUGACCUCAAAUCAGGUAGGACUACCCGCUGAACUUAA
rnacentral:misc_RNA from 1 species